rnacentral:rRNA from 1 species
GGCGAGUGAAGCGGGAAGAGCUCACGUUGUGAAUCUGGCCCUCGGGCCCGAACUGUACUCUGGAGAGGCGAGGCCAGCCGCUGUCCGCGGCCAAGUCUGAUUGGAAAUGAGCAUCAAGGAGGGUGACAAUCCCGUCCAUGCCGCGGUAUCGACCAGCGCGCGUCCGGCCCGCUUUCGACGAGUCGAGUUGCUUGGGAUUGCAGCUCAAAGUGGGUGGUAAACUCCAUCCAAAGCUAAACACGGGGGGGAGACCGAUAGCGAACAAGUACCGUGAGGGAAAGAUGCAAAGAACUUUGAAAAGAGAGUUAAAGAGUGCCUGAAAUUGCUGGAAGGGAAGCGAAGGAAAGAGGUGUGCGGUUGCCCGGGCGCCAACCCCUACCUGUCCGCAGGUGGGGGUAGGCCGCCCGGCCGCGGUCAGGGGCAGCGCUGGGUUCGGGGGAAGAGCCAUCGGGGAUCGGUAGGCGUUCCGCUUCGGCGGAGCGUUGUCAGGCCCCGGCGGUUGUUGCCCCGAAUCGUCUCCCGGCCCCCGUCUGGCGGUCGCGGCUUUUCUUCACCCCGUCUUGAAACACGGACCAAGGAGUCUAGCGUGGACGCGAGUAGAGGGGUGUCCAAACCCCCUUGCGCAAUGAAGGUGAACGCCGGUGGGAGGCAGCACUUGCUGCUGCCAGCACCAUCGACCGAGCGUGCUCCCUCGGGGGCAAGGCUUGAGUGUGAGCGUGCAUGCUGGGACCCGAAAGAUGGUGAACUAUGCCUGAAUAGGGCGAAGCCAGGGGAAACUCUGGUGGAGGCUCGUAGCGAUUCUGACGUGCAAAUCGAUCGUGAGAUUUGGGUAUAGGGGCGAAAGACUAAUCGAACCAUCUAGUAGCUGGUUCCCUCCGAAAUUUCCCUCAGGAUAGCAGCGGCCGAGUGUGAC